AAUAGAUAAUUCAAUGUUUGUGUUAGAAUAAUAAUUCAAAUUUAAUUAAAAUAUAAUUUGAGAUAAAUUGAAAAUUUUUAUUUGAUUAUGAUUAGAAUUUAUAGUUAUACAAAAUAAAAAUUAAAUUUAUCAUCUCUUGUGACUUGAUAGCUAUAUAUAAUUAGGCAUGAGUUAAUAAGAAAAAUAACUGAAUAAGUUAUAGUAGACAUGACUGCAUAGGUUUUGUCUUACUUUCGUUAAUAAAGUACUAGUUUAACUUUCUUCUUCCUCCUCCAAUAUCUCUCCUUCGUAUUAUUUAUUUUAAAUUUUGAGUUAUAUAAUUGGUAUUAACGUAAGCACCGGUUCCAACAACUGGUAUUAGAGAAAAAUCAUGCUUUCAAUAGUUCGCAAACUUUGUUUGAAAUUUUUGACAGAAUACAUCCCAAAUAAUAAUAAUAAUAAUAAUAAUAAUAAUGCAAUAUAUAUUAUAUUAUAUAUAAUAAAUGAGUAUUUUAUCUGUUUUUACAAAUAAUAAUUUGCUACUAGAGUCCAGAAAACACAUUGAAGAAAAAAGAUUAUAUAUAUAGAAUUGGGCUGGAAUACUAUUAAUAGUAAAAUGCUCUUUUUGCUAUCAUGUUUUUAACCCUUAAAUGAAAAAUUGUAGGGUCAGGAUGAUAUUAGUCGGUUAGAGUUGAGUGGUCCCUCUAUGGUUGAGUGGUUCUUAUUGGGUUAUAAUAUUUAAUCCAAUGGUUAGAAAUAAUGAAAAGAGUUGAUCCAAAGGCUAAAAAACUGGUAGCAACAAUAAAAUUUUGCUACUAAUAGUAGCCCAGUCUCACUAUAUAUAUAUAUAUACUU
rnacentral:lncRNA from 1 species